GACGAACGCUGGCGGCGUGCCUAAUACAUGCAAGUCGAGCGAGCGGCGGACGGGGGAGUAAUGUAUGGGGAUCUGCCCGAUAGAGGGGGAUAACUACUGGAAACGGUGGAUAAUACCGCAUACUAUAGGAUGAACCCAUAUGGGAUUGGCUAGUAGGUGGGGUAAAGGCUCACCUAGGCGACGAGCUCUAGUUGGUCUGAGAGGAUGAUCAGCCACACUGGGACUGAGACACGGCCCAGAAUCCUACGGGAGGCAGCAGUGGGGAAUAUUGCACAAUGGGCGCAAGCCUGAUGCAGCCAUGCCGCGUGUGUGAAGAAGGCCUUAGGGUUGUAAAGUACUUUCAGCGGGGAGGCGUUACCCGCAGAAGAAGCACCGGCUAACUCCGUGCCAGCAGCCGCGGUAAUAC
rnacentral:rRNA from 1 species